AGUGAACGCUGGCGGUAGGCCUAACACAUGCAAGUCGAACGGCAGCACAGAGGAGCUUGCUCCUUGGGUGGCGAGUGGCGGACGGGUGAGGAAUACAUCGGAAUCUACUCUGUCGUGGGGGAUAACGUAGGGAAACUUACGCUAAUACCGCAUACGACCUACGGGUGAAAGCAGGGGAUCUUCGGACCUUGCGCGAUUGAAUGAGCCGAUGUCGGAUUAGCUAGUUGGCGGGGCAAAGGCCCACCAAGGCGACGAUCCGUAGCUGGUCUGAGAGGAUGAUCAGCCACACUGGAACUGAGACACGGGCCAGACUCCUACGGUAGGCAGCAGUGGGGAAUAUUGGACAAUGGCCGCAAGCCUGAUCCAGCCAUACAGCGUGGGCGAAGAAGGCCUUCGGGUUGUAAAGCCCUUUUGUUGGGAGAGAAAUCCAUCUGGUUAAUACCCGGGUGGGAUGACGGUACCCAAAGAAUAAGCACCGGCUAACUUCGUGCCAGCCGCCGCUGUAA
rnacentral:rRNA from 1 species